rnacentral:misc_RNA from 1 species
CCAGAGCUUCCAUCAUGCUUAGAAGAUUUGUCUUUACGGAAUUGCACAUCUCUGGAAUCUGCAUCAACUUCUUUCCUUUUCCCAGAACACGAAGACGAAGAUCGAAUUGAAAAUUUUCUUGACUUUAGUAAUUGCAUCAGUUUGGAUAAGGAGAAAGUGAUGGAGGAUGUAUUGGAAACGCAUUUGUUGAAACACAAGAUUGUUCGUU